rnacentral:rRNA from 1 species
GGAGAUGGCGGCAGCUUUCCAUGCAGUCGAACGGCAGCGCGGACUUCGGUCUGGCGGCGAGUGGCGAACGGGUGAGUAAUACAUCGGAACGUACCCUGUUGUGGGGGAUAACUAGUCGAAAGAUUAGCUAAUACCGCAUACGACCUGAGGGUGAAAGCGGGGGACCGAAAGGCCUCGCGCAGCAGGAGCGGCCGAUGUCUGAUUAGCUAGUUGGUGGGGUAAAGGCCCACCAAGGCGACGAUCAGUAGCUGGUCUGAGAGGACGAUCAGCCACACUGGGACUGAGACACGGCCCAGACUCCUACGGGAGGCAGCAGUGGGGAAUUUUGGACAAUGGGGGCAACCCUGAUCCAGCAAUGCCGCGUGUGUGAAGAAGGCCUUCGGGUUGUAAAGCACUUUUGUCCGGAAAGAAAUUGCUCUGGCUAAUACCUGGGGUAGAUGACGGUACCGGAAGAAUAAGCACCGGCUAACUACGUGCCAGCAGCCGCGGUAAUACGUAGGGUGCGAGCGUUAAUCGGAAUUACUGGGCGUAAAGCGUGCGCAGGCGGUUUUGUAAGACAGGCGUGAAAUCCCCGGGCUCAACCUGGGAAUUGCGCUUGUGACUGCAAGGCUAGAGUGCGUCAGAGGGGGGUAGAAUUCCACGUGUAGCAGUGAAAUGCGUAGAGAUGUGGAGGAAUACCGAUGGCGAAGGCAGCCCCCUGGGACGUGACUGACGCUCAUGCACGAAAGCGUGGGGAGCAAACAGGAUUAGAUACCCUGGUAGUCCACGCCCUAAACGAUGUCAACUAGUUGUUGGGGAUUCAUUUUCUCAGUAACGUAGCUAACGCGUGAAGUUGACCGCCUGGGGAGUACGGUCGCAAGAUUAAAACUCAAAGGAAUUGACGGGGACCCGCACAAGCGGUGGAUGAUGUGGAUUAAUUCGAUGCAACGCGAAAAACCUUACCUACCCUUGACAUGCCACUAACGAAGCAGAGAUGCAUUAGGUGCCCGAAAGGGAAAAGUGGACACAAGGUGCUGCAUGGGCUGUCGUCAGCUCCGUGUCGUGAAGAUGUUGGGGUUAAGUCC